GACAGAGGAGCCAAGCGUUGUCCGGAUUGACUGGGCGUAAAGAGCACGCAGGCGGCCCGGCGCGUGGGGUGUGAAAGCUGGCGGCUUAACUGCCAGACGCCAUCCCAUACGGCUGGGCUCGAGCCCUGCAGAGGUCCAUGGAAUUGCCGGUGUAGUGGUGAAAUGCGUAGAGAUCGGCAGGAACACCCAGGGGGAAGCCAGUGGACUGGGCAGGAGCUGACGCUCAGGUGCGAAAGCGUGGGGAGCGAACCGG
rnacentral:rRNA from 1 species